UGGGGAAUAUUGCACAAUGGGCGCAAGCCUGAUGCAGCCAUGCCGCGUGUGUGAAGAAGGCCUUCGGGUUGUAAAGCACUUUCAGCGGGGAGGAAGGCGAUAAGGUUAAUAACCUUGUCGAUUGACGUUACCCGCAGAAGAAGCACCGGCUAACUCCGUGCCAGCAGCCGCGGUAAUACGGAGGGUGCAAGCGUUAAUCGGAAUUACUGGGCGUAAAGCGCACGCAGGCGGUCUGUCAAGUCGGAUGUGAAAUCCCCGGGCUUAACCUGGGAACUGCAUUCGAAACUGGCAGGCUAGAGUCUUGUAGAGGGGGGUAGAAUUCCAGGUGUAGCGGUGAAAUGCGUAGAGAUCUGGAGGAAUACCAGUGGCGAAGGCGGCCCCCUGGACAAAGACUGACGCUCAGGUGCGAAAGCGUGGGGAGCAAACAGG
rnacentral:rRNA from 1 species